AAUGAACGUUGGCGGCGUGCUUAACACAUGCAAGUCGAACGAGAAAGUUCCUUCGGGGACGAGUACAGUGGCGAACGGGUGAGUAACGCGUGAGAAUCUGCCUCUUAGUGAAGAAUACCCCUGAGAAAUCGGGGUUAAUACUGCAUAAGUCCGUGAAUAACGGAGAAAGAUGGCCUCUUCGCUAUCGCUAAGAGAUGAGCUUGCGUCCUAUUAGUUAGUUGGUGGGGUAAUGGCCUACCAAGACAAAGAUGGGUAGCCGGCCUGAGAGGGUGUACGGCCACAUUGGGACUGAGAUACGGCCCAGACUCCUACGGGAGGCAGCAGUGGGGAAUAUUGCGCAAUGGGGGAAACCCUGACGCAGCGACGCCGCGUGGAGGAUGAAGGUUUUAGGAUUGUAAACUCCUGUUAAGUGGGAAGAAAUGUCAUAGCCUAAUACGUUAUGAAGCUGACGGUACCACUAGAGAAAGCACCGGCUAACUUCGUGCCAGCAGCCGCGGUAAUACGAAGGGUGAC
rnacentral:rRNA from 1 species